AGUACCGGAGUUGGUUGCACACAGGAUUACAAUGCAAAAAUCGUAGGUUCAAUUCCUGCAUUC
rnacentral:tRNA from 16 species